rfam:Triticum aestivum genome assembly, contig: Triticum_aestivum_CS42_TGACv1_scaffold_343592_4DL
ACACUACUCCCUCCGUUCGGAAUUACUCGUUCAAAAAAUGAAUGUAUCUAGAUGUAUUUUAGUAGUAGAUACAUCCACUUUUAUUCAUUUUUGUGACAAGUAAUUCCGAACGGAGGGAGUAGUAC